rnacentral:rRNA from 1 species
GACGAACCGAGCGAACGUUAUUCGGAAUCACUUGGGCUUAAAGGGCGCGUAGGCGGGCGAUCAAGUCAGGGGUGAAAGCCCCCAGCUCAACUGGGGAAGUGCCUCUGAUACUGGUCGUCUCGAGCGAGGUAGGGGCGUGCGGAACUUCCGGUGGAGCGGUGAAAUGCGUAGAUAUCGGAAGGAACAUCGGUGGCGAAAGCGGCGCGCUGGACCUCUUCUGACGCUGAGGCGUGAAAGCCAGGGGAGCGAACGGG